rnacentral:rRNA from 1 species
AGUCGAGCGAAUGGAUUGAGAGCUUGCUCUCAAGAAGUUAGCGGCGGACGGGUGAGUAACACGUGGGUAACCUGCCCAUAAGACUGGGAUAACUCCGGGAAACCGGGGCUAAUACCGGAUAAUAUUUUGAACUGCAUGGUUCGAAAUUGAAAGGCGGCUUCGGCUGUCACUUAUGGAUGGACCCGCGUCGCAUUAGCUAGUUGGUGAGGUAACGGCUCACCAAGGCAACGAUGCGUAGCCGACCUGAGAGGGUGAUCGGCCACACUGGGACUGAGACACGGCCCAGACUCCUACGGGAGGCAGCAGUAGGGAAUCUUCCGCAAUGGACGAAAGUCUGACGGAGCAACGCCGCGUGAGUGAUGAAGGCUUUCGGGUCGUAAAACUCUGUUGUUAGGGAAGAACAAGUGCUAGUUGAAUAAGCUGGCACCUUGACGGUACCUAACCAGAAAGCCACGGCUAACUACGUGCCAGCAGCCGCGGUAAUACGUAGGUGGCAAGCGUUAUCCGGAAUUAUUGGGCGUAAAGCGCGCGCAGGUGGUUUCUUAAGUCUGAUGUGAAAGCCCACGGCUCAACCGUGGAGGGUCAUUGGAAACUGGGAGACUUGAGUGCAGAAGAGGAAAGUGGAAUUCCAUGUGUAGCGGUGAAAUGCGUAGAGAUAUGGAGGAACACCAGUGGCGAAGGCGACUUUCUGGUCUGUAACUGACACUGAGGC